rfam:Streptomyces sp. Ncost-T10-10d genome assembly, contig: Ga0115254_1070
GCGUGGGUCGGUCCACUGCAUCGGACUCAGUGGGCUGGGGGACACUGCCGCCUCAUUCCCCGCAGGCGGCGGACCGGUCCGGGAGGUGAACGACACCUCCCGGACUGUG